rnacentral:rRNA from 1 species
AGGAUCAUUAUAGAGAGCUACGGCUCCCUGUAUUCUAUUANNNNNNNNNUAUUACAUUCCAUGUUGCUUCCAUCACCUUCAUGGNNGGUGGUAGGAUUUUUCAUACUAUUAUUUUUGCUGAGACCUUUACCUGUCUGAAUAUGAGGGGAAAUGUUACAAAACUUUCAACAACGGAUCUCUUGGCUCCUGCAUCGAUGAAGAACGCAGCGAAAUGCGAUAAUUAAUGUGAAUUGCAGAAUUCCGUGAAUCAUCGAGUCUUUGAACGCACAUUGCGCCUCAUGGCAUUCCGUGAGGCAUGCCCAUCUCAGCGUUAGCAAAUAUUAUCAAAUUUUGGCAUUAUGCUAAAGUUUGGAUCAUGUCAGGGAAGCUAUUACAGUUCAUGUGGAUAGCUCUUUGGAAAUUGAUAGGUCUAUAAGUUGCUAUCAUUAGAAUGUGAUGAAAAUUACUUCGUUCAAAUGUGGUUUACUUAUAUAGUCCUGAAACUUAUAUACCUUUUUGGUAUUUCUUGAAUUUGACCUGAGAUUGGGUAGGGAUACCCGCUGAACUUAAGCAUAUCAAUAAGCGGAGGAAAAGAAACCAACAGGGAUUGCCUUAGUAACGGCGAGUGAAGCAGCAAAAGCUCAGAUUUGAAAGCUAGCAUCUUGGUUUGAUGUUCGCAUUGUAAUCUGUAGAGGAGUGUUNAAGCAUAGCUNUGACCCAAGUUCUUUGGAACAGGACGUCAUGGAGGGUGAGAAUCCCGUUCAUAGUUGUUGUCUUAUGCUUAUGUGAACCUCCUUCAAUGAGUCGAGUUGUUUGGGAAUGCAGCUCUAAAUGGGUGGUAUAUUUCAUCUAAAGCUAAAUAUCAGCAGGAGACCGAUAGUGCACAAGUAGAGUGAUCGAAAGAUGAAAAGAACUUUGGAAAGAGAGUCAAACAGUACGUGAAAUUGUUGAAAGGGAAGCACUUACACCCAGACUUCCUUAUAGUUGAUCAAUUAUCAUUUUUGAUAGUGCACUCAAUUGUAGGCAGGCCAGUAUCAUNNANNNNNNUGGGGCAAAGGUGUUGAGAAUGUAGCUCUUUCGGGNNNUUAUAACUCUUCAUGUCAUGUCACCUGCUCUGACUGAGGUUCGCAC